CCUACGGGAGGCAGCAGUGGGGAAUAUUGGACAAUGGGCGCAAGCCUGAUCCAGCAAUGCCACGUGUGUGAAGAAGGCCUUAGGGUUGUAAAGCACUUUCAUUAGCGAGGAAGGUAUUUAGGUUAAGAGCUAAGAUACUUGACGUUAACUAAAGAAGAAGCACCGGCUAACUCUGUGCCAGCAGCCGCGGUAAUACAGAGGGUGCGAGCGUUAAUCGGAAUUACUGGGCGUAAAGAGUACGUAGGUUGUUAUUUAAGUCAGAUGUGAAAGCCCUGGGCUCAACCUAGGAACUGCAUCUGAUACUGGGUAACUGGAGUAUAGUAGAGGAAAGAGGAAUUUCUGGUGUAGCAGUGAAAUGCGUAGAUAUCAGAAGGAACAUCAGUGGCGAAGGCGUCUUUCUGGACUAAUACUGACACUGAGGUACGAAAGCGUGGGUAGCG
rnacentral:rRNA from 1 species